rnacentral:rRNA from 1 species
AUUGAACGCUGGCGGCAGGCUUAACACAUGCAAGUCGAGCGGGCGAGGUUGCUUCGGUAACUGAGCUAGCGGCGGACGGGCGAGUAAUGCUUAGGAAUCUGCCUAUUAGUGGGGGACAACAUUCCGAAAGGAAUGCUAAUACCGCAUACGCCCUACGGGGGAAAGCAGGGGAUCUUCGGCCCUUGCGUUAAUCGAUGAGCCUAAGUCAGAUUAGCUAGUUGGUGGGGUAAAGGCCUACCAAGGCGACGAUCUGUAGCGGGUCUGAGAGGAUGAUCCGCCACACUGGGACUGAGACACGGCCCAGACUCCUACGGGAGGCAGCAGUGGGGAAUAUUGGACAAUGGGCGGAAGCCGGAUCCAGCCAUGCCGCGUGUGUGAAGAAGGCCUUUUGGUUGUAAAGCACUUUAAGCGUGGAGGAGGCUACUUGGAUUAAUACUCUAGGAUAGUGGACGUUACUCGCAGAAUAAGCACCGGCUAACUCUGUGCCAGCCGCCGCGGUAA